rnacentral:rRNA from 1 species
UUCCGUAGGUGAACCUGCGGAAGGAUCAUUAACGUGCUCGUUCGGCCGCUCGGGUCAGCCCUGCACCGGCGGAGACGCCGUGCUGCGGGCUCUCUGGCGUGCCUUCCAAACCAAUCCCCUGUGAACCUUUGGGAAGGCCGAGCCUUCGCGGCGAAGUCGUCCCCUUUACAAACUCUGUAUCUCUAGAAUGACCGCGGACUUCGUCUGCCUAAACACAUAACAACUUUCAACAACGGAUCUCUUGGCUCUCGCAUCGAUGAAGAGCGCAGCGAAAUGCGAUAAGUAAUGUGAAUUGCAGAAUUCAGUGAAUCAUCGAAUCUUUGAACGCACCUUGCGCUCCUUGGUAUUCCGAGGAGCAUGCCUGUUUGAGUGUCAUGGAAUUCUCAACCUAUAAAUCUUUGUGGUUUAUGGGCUUGGACUUGGAGGCUUGCCGGCCUCAAUGGUCGGCUCCUCUUGAAUGCAUUAUCUUGACUCCGUGCGGAUCGGCUCUCAGUGUGAUAAUUGUCUACGCUGUGAACCGUGAAGUGUUUGGCGAGCUUCUAACCGUCCCUUUGGGACAAUUUAUUGACAUCUGACCUCAAAUCAGGUAGGACUACCCGCUGAACUUAAGCAUAUCAAUAAGCGGAGGA